AGCGUCAUUUCAACCAUCAAGCCCCAGGCUUGUGUUGGGGACCUGCGGCUGCCGCAGGCCCUGAAAUCAGUGGCGGGCUCGCUAGUCACUCCGAGCGUAGUAAUACAUCUCGCUCUGGACGUGCUUCGUGCUCCGGCCGUUAAACACCUUAUUUACCCAAGGUUGACCUCGGAUCAGGUAGGAAGACCCGCUGAACUUAA
rnacentral:misc_RNA from 1 species